rnacentral:rRNA from 1 species
GACGAACGCUGGCGGCGUGCUUAACACAUGCAAGUCGAACGGAAAGGCCCUGCUUUUGUGGGGUGCUCGAGUGGCGAACGGGUGAGUAACACGUGAGUAACCUGCCCUUGACUUUGGGAUAACUUCAGGAAACUGGGGCUAAUACCGGAUAGGAGCUCCUGCUGCAUGGUGGGGGUUGGAAAGAUUCGGCGGUUGGGGAUGGACUCGCGGCUUAUCAGCUUGUUGGUGAGGUAGGGGCUUACCAAGGCUUUGACGGGUAGCCGGCCUGAGAGGGUGACCGGCCACAUUGGGACUGAGAUACGGCCCAGACUCCUACGGGAGGCAGCAGUGGGGAAUAUUGCACAAUGGGCGGAAGCCUGAUGCAGCAACGCCGCGUGCGGGAUGACGGCCUUCGGGUUGUAAACCGCUUUCGCCUGUGACGAAGCGUGAGUGACGGUAAUGAGUAAAGAAGCACCGGCUAACUACGUG